CAUGUGACAGACAUGCGUGCUGGCCUGGGAGGAGGAGAGGGUAGCCGGAAUACCUCUGCGAGUUUCCUUCAGCACUCCAGGAGCCGCGGAACGCUCCAACUGCUCUUCAUGGAUGACUUCACCAACAAACUGGGCUCCUACCGCACCUUCUCCCAGCUCUCUGUGUUCCGCAAUCUCACCCGCAUCAACUCGCUGCCCUGAGCAGAGCCUGUCCUCCGCCCAUUCACCAACUGUUAAACGUUAUAGGUUUGGCUUCACCCCUGAGAGCAGUGUCCCAUGCAGCAAGCUCAGUGCUUCUCUCCGGGGAGUCUUUCUUUGGUGUCCGGGCGCCUCUCUGUUGGCAACAAGAUGAUUUGCCACACAGAAACAGUCAAAAUUGUCUGGGUGCGCUGGCUCACACCUGUAAUCGCAGCACUUUGGGAGGCUGAGGCUGCCGGAUCACGAAGUCAGGAAUCUGAGAUUACCCUGACCAACCUGGUGAAACCCGGUCUCUACUGAAAAUACAAAAAUUAGCCCGGCGUGGUGACGCAUGCCUGUAGUCCCAGCUACGUUGCGGGAGGUUGAGACAGGAGAAUUGCUUGAACCCGGGAGGCAAAAGUUAGAAUGAGCUGAGAACUUGCCCUUGCCCUGCAGCAAGACUCUGUCUCCAAAAAAAAAAAAAAAGAGUAAAGAUUUCUCCUCCAGGGCACUAAUGGACUUGACUGUCUUUGCCUGGUGAGCUGUCAUCCAAAAUCCCCACGCCUGCAUCUUUGACCAUUCAAAAAUGAGCUGAGAGCUCUAGGAGGGUGCCAGGAAGACCUAGCAAAAGAGGAGGACCGUAAGAGAAGCGGCCCCAUAUACAGUGGGAGUGCACCAUCAUCAUCUAGGCCUCUGGACACCACUGGAGUGCUCACUUUUUAAAAAAAUUCUUUCUUUUUUUUUUUUUAAAUUAGAAAUGGGGUUUCUCCAUGUUGGUCAGGCUGGUCUCGAACUCCCGACCUCAAAUGAUCUGCCUGCCUCGGCCUCCCAAAGUGCUCGGAUUACAGACAUGAGCCACUGUGCCCAGCCAUUGGAGUUCUCACUUUCUUCAGUGUAAGUCUGAGCCUCUGAUGGGAAAUCUCAAUUCCAAAUUCCCAGAAGACAGCAUUGGUAAGAAAGGAGUGCUGGAUGAAGACUGUAGACCCAGGAGGUCCUUCACCAAAGGUGGCACCAUUACCAGCACAUACAGCCCUGCUGGAGGUGUCACGUGCAUUUGCAGAGUGAUCCAGGUGCUGCAGGGCUCUUGGCCCAUGGAAUCAUGCUCCCUGAUGUCAAGAGAUAGGCACAGGAAGUGCCAGAUGCAGGCCAUGGGUCCAGCUCCCCAGCCUUGCUGAUGCAGGGAAGAAGAUGCAGGGAAAAAAGCUUCCAAAGACUUGGUCAAGGUAAAAACCCUCAGAGGCGAUUAUGAUCACCUCUAUGCACACAAACUAGAAAACCUGUAAGAAAUGGAUAACUUCCUGAAAUCAUAAAGCCUCCCAUGUUUGAACCAGGAAGAAAUUGAAACCCUAAACAAAGACUCCUUCAAGGAAGAAUUCUCCGCCCACAUCUUGCAAUUGAAGGCCUUGUAAAUGGAAAAUGUCAAGGUUGUUGAUGCUGCCUGGGCUGCCACUGUCACUACCACUGCUCCUGUACCCUCCAUCAACUGGCUCUUGAUCCCCAUCACUCUUGCUCUUCUCAGGCCUCCCUAUUUCCUGAGAAACAACAAUAUUGAAAUCAGGUCAAUGAAUAACUCCAAAAUAACCUCUAAAUGUUCAAAUGAAAGAGUCAUGCAUCUCUCACUUUAGAAGAAAGGCUAGAAAUAAUUAAGAUUAUUGAGGAAAGCAUAUUGAAUGCUGAGACAGGCUGAAAGCUGGGCCUUUUGCACCAAACACUUAGCCAAGUUGUGAAUGCAAAAAAAAGUUCUUAAAGGAAAUUAAAUGUCCUAAUCCACUGAAUACAAGAGCAAUAAGAAAGGAAAACAGCAUUAUUGCUGGUAUGGAGAAAGUUUGAGUGGUCUGGAUAGAGACCGUAGUGCUUAGUUCUCUAGAGAAUUAGCAAGGCCCUAACUCUCUUCAGCUCUAUGAAACUUCAGAGAGGUGAGGAAGCUGCAGAAGAAAAGCUGGAAGCUAACAGAGUUUGGUUUAUGAGGUUCGAGGAGAGAAGCCAUUUCAAUAAAAGUGCAAGGUGGUGAAGCAGUAAGUGCUGCUAUAGACGCUGCAGUAAAUUAUCCAGAAAAUCUGGCUAAGAUAAUGGGUGAAGGUGCCUACACAAAACAGCAGAUUUUCAAUGUACACAAAACAGCCUUCUGUUGGAAGAAGAUGCCAUGUGGGACUUUCAUGGCUAGAGAAGAUAAAUCAAUUAUUAGAUUCAAGGCUUCAAAGGACUUUCUGACUUCCUUGUUAGGAGUUAAUGCAGUUGGAGACUUUAAACUGAAUCAAUGCUCAUCUACCAUUCUGAUGAUCCAAGGGCCCUUAAGAAUUAUGCUAAACAUACUCUGCAUGGGAUCUGUAAAUGAAACUACAAAGCCUAGAUGACAGCACAUCUGUUUAUAGCCUGGUUUACUGAAUAUUUUAUGCCUACUAUUAAGACCCACUGCUCAGAAAAAAAAGUCUUUUAAAAAAAUAUUACUGCUCUUUUACAACACAUCUGGUUACCCUCAAGCUCUGAUGGAGAUCUACAAAGAGAUUAAUAUUGUUUUCAUGCAUACUAACACACCAUCCACUCUGCAGCCCAUGAAUCAAGGAGUAAUUUUUUACUUGUACAUCUUAUUAUGUAAGAACUACAUUUUGCAAAGCUCUUGUUUUCAUAGACAGUAAUUCCUCUGAUGGAUAUGGGCAAAGUAAAUUGAAAACCUUCUGGAAAAGAUUUAUCAUUCUAGAUGUCAUUCAAAACAUUUGUGAUUUAUGUAGGGAGGCCAAAAUAUCAAUAUUAACAGCAGUUUGUAAGAAGUUUUCAACCCUCAUGGAUGACUUUGAGGGACUGAACUUUUCAGUGGAGGAAGUAACUUCAGAUGUAGAAGAAAUAACAAGACAACUAGAAUUAUAAGUAUAGCCUGAAGAUAUGACUGAAUUGCUGCAAUUUCAUAAUAAAACUGAAAAGAUGAGGAGUUGCUUCUUAUAGAUAAGCAAAGAAAUUGGUUUCUUGAGAUGAAAUCUAGUCCUGGUUAAGAUACUGUUAACAUUGUUAAGAUGACAACUAUUACAUAAUUUGCUAAGUCAACAGAGCAAUAUUUAAGAUCAUUGAUUCCAAUUCUGAAAGAAUUUGUAUUGCAUGCAAAGUGUUGUCAAACAACAUCAUAUGCUACAGACAAAUUUUUAUGAAAAGAAAAAAUUUCUGUGUGAUAAAUUCUAUUGUUGUUUUAUCUUAAGAACUUUCCACAACCCCCGAAACCUUCGGAAACCAACAACUUGACCAGUCAGCAGCCGUCGACAUCAGGGCAACACCCCCCACCAGCACAGAAUAUGACUUACUGAAGCCUCAGAUGGUUGUUAGCAUUUUUUCAUCAAUAAAGCACUUUUAAUUAAGCUUUCUCUUGCCUGUUUUCUCAUCAAGUGAUCUGUACAUACUGGUUCUCCUUCACCAUCUGCCAUGAGUGGAAGCAGCCUGAGUCCCUCUCCAGAAGCAGACUCAGGCACCAAAGUUCCUAUAAGCCUGCAGAACUGUGAGCUAAAUGAACCUGCUUUCUUUGUAAAUUAUUCAGCCUCAGGUCUUUUUAGCAACACAAAAACAGACUAAAACAAAAAGUCAUUGAUAUUAAUGUAUUAACAUAAGCACAUUGCUUAUAUCCUGUGCCUAAUACAUAAUAUGUGCUCUAAAAAUAGUUUUCUUUUACUAAUACUAAGAAGAUACUACAUUUAGUCAACAAUGGAAAUCCUGAGGCUAACAUCUGGUUGUGGGUGAUGAAAGAAACUUGCUAUGAUUAUGCAUGGUUCUGUGACAACCAGAGGCUCAGCCUGGGACUCUGUUUUCUCUGACCUCACAGAAAAGACACAGCUGGUGAGUGAUGUCAGGGUGUAUCAAUGGAUUUAAGGACAUUUCUCUUACUUUAGUAAGCAAAUUCUUGAGCAUUUGGAUGCUGCAGUGAUUUGAAGAAAGCUGAUAAUAUAUUGUGACAGAAACUCCAAUUGUCAGCCUGGGUCGCCAGAGUUCAUGCCUCACAGGAAUCCAGAAAGAGAAAGCAUGUGCCUCAGCAUCUGGGAAGACACAUUUCUUAUGUGAUCCUCUUGGCUUUCUCGGUGAGACAGACAAUGAAGUGAGAAAGGGAGAAAGGAAAGAACAUUCGAUAGUCGCUGUCACAGAGAAAAGGAAUGGAAAAUUGGUUGGACCCGGGGGAUGAAGAUGUGCCUCUCAUGGACAUAGGCCAGUAGAGCCUGUUUCUGUGCCAUUAAAUUGAUAACAACGUGUUUGGAGAUGAGCAAGAUGGAACCGAUGAAGCAUCUGGACUGGAAAAUUCUCACAGUAGGACCUGCUAACUUGAUUCUCUCAUCACCAUGGCAACAGUCUUUGUCAGAAAUGACAAGAUAAAGAAUCCAAUAUAUUUCCUACGUCACUGGCCUGUCUGAAAGCUAAAGGCAAGUUUUACCAUAAUGUAUCUAUUCUGUUUUUUUUUAACAACUACUUCUCUGCUUCUUUUAAUGUAUUUUGUUCCUUCUAUUUAGUAUACGUUGUUCAUUUUCAUGGGCAUUUAGUUUUAUAAGAAAAUGGCUACUUUUAAAAGUAGUGUUUAAAAACUCACAAUAGUUGCAAUUAACCACACACCUUCCAAACCUUUGUCAGGUCCCAAGAACUGUUUUUAAAAACUUGUAGUCACUUAAGCCUUUGGAGAUUAGACAGUGAAUUCAAUAAUAUCAUCUUAAAAAAAUAAACUCACAAUAAUCAUGUGAAGAAAAUAUUAUCUAUGCCACUGUGCAAAUAAAGCAAAUCAUUUGAUUAAGAAGACAGAGCUCAUAAUAGCAACUAUAUGUUAAAGCUCAUUUUCUAAAUUCUAAAAUAGUAAUUUUUAAACCAGAUUAUUGCCCUUCAAAUUGUCUGCUUUUCUUCUUUGAUAUAUUUUAUUUAUUAUGACAGAGAGCGUGUGGGCUAUGCUACCCUGAAAUAAGGCAACUUGGGGGUCACCCCUUGAUUUUUUUGACCUUUCUCUGUGAGGGCUGCCCUCUGUAAGCAGGUCAAAAGACCCUCACGGGAGAGGUGUCAUGCUCUGAACCCAGGGGGAAGGAAUGUCACACAGUCACACAGGAAAGAAUCUAGCACAUAAGGCUUGCUGUGUUCUCCCCUAGCUUAUUGUCAUUAGAUCAUACCCCUCUUUGUACAUUCAUGUUUCUUUACAACCAUUUACUUCUUUCAUCAGACUUCACUUAAAAUACACAAUUUUCUCUGGGUCUUCAUUUCUAAAGGCUUUCAUGUUAUGUCAAACUUUGGUUAAUUAAAUUUGCUAUACUUUUCGCUUGUUAAUUUGUUUUUUUGCUUUAUCUGUCCUACAUUGCCUAGUAUUUUGGUUAACCUUAUAAUCCUUUGGUAAGCUGACAGCUGCCAACUCUAAGAAAAGUGGAUUUAAAAAAAUAACACCUUCAGCACAGAGACAAGUCUAGACUAGAUCUUGCAGGAAGUGCACAUAGACAGCGGCAAAAACCUGUGGUUUGGAGCAAAAUGGAAAAAAAAAAUCACCAAAGCAAAAUCAUGGUAGUUAGAGGAUUCCAAUAAAGAUCAAAGAUAGGUGAAAAUUGGAGAUUACUCUGCCAGGUCAUAAAGAUGAAGACAAACUUUGUCAGGUAUAUGCUGAAAUGUAUAGGGACAAAUUUCAAUUAAGUGGAUAAUGUUCGGUGGCAUCUUGUUGCCCUUAUGAUGCCAGCCUCUCUCCUAUACCCCAUACCACAAGCUUUCUAUUUUACAGCAAGAGUAAUUAAAGAAUUGCCAUUUGAACAGGGGAGAGACAUGAUCUUUAUCAGUAGCUAACUUUUUUGUUUUAUCUAAAACAUUAAUUCAGCAUGUCAGUGAUUGUUGGGCAUACCAAAUGUAAACAUUCUGGAAGUGGAAAAUGUCAAGAAAUCUCAAAAAUAGUUCUCCCUGAAGUGAAACCAAAGCAGCAAUGUAAGGUAGCCUAUUCUACUGGCUGUGACAGUGGAAGAGUCAGGAAUAAAAUGACUCCGAUCCUCAGUCUACUGUCCCAGGGGUACAACUACAUCAAAUGAGCUUUUCAGAGCCUACAGCCCUAAUUUGUCAAAUGGAAAAUCCUUUAUUGGUACCUUAGAGAGCAGCUGUGUAUUUCAGUAUGAUAACACAUUCUUUUGUGUUAUUUCAAGUAAUAGUAAAAAUAAAACAACAAACAAAUAAAACCCAUGUUAUUUCCACUUUCUUAGUCUUUGUAGUUCAUUCUAACAGUAAAACAAUAAAAACACAAUGGGUCUUUUCAGGAUGAUACCAUUAAAAUCAACAAUUUAAUGUUUAAUGUUAGAUAUAUAUUUGUAGUAAACUACAAUAAAAGCAAGAGAAUAACAAAUAUAAUAUUGGAAUUAAGCUUGGAAGUGAGGUAGUAGAUUCUUUCAGUAAGGGGCGUGUGGAAGCUGUAAUAUAUUGAUAAUGUUCUAUUUCUUACAUUAAUGCUGACUUAGUGUUCACCUUCAUAUACUGCAUAUCUUGUAGAGCUAUAUAUAAGAGCUAUAUACAUUUAUUUAGAUGUAAGAAAUAUUUUAGAAAUUUUAAGAAUUGUCCUGCAAAAACACACUAUAGACAAACAGAGCAAUGGAACAGCAUAGAGUCCAGAAAUAGAACUAAAUAAAUAUAUUUUGGGGGCCAGGCAUGGUGGCUCAUGCCUGUAAUCCUAGCACUUUGGGAGGUCAAGGCAGGUGGAUCACCUGAGGUCAGGAGUUCAGGACUAGCCUGGCCAACAUGGUGAAACCCCAUCUCUACUAAAAAUAUAAAAAGUCAGCCCAGCGUGGUGAUGGGUGCCUGUAAUCCCAGCUACCUGGGAGGCUGAGGCAAGAGAAUUGCUUGAACCUGGGAGCCGGAGGUCUCAGUGAGCUGAGAUCAUACCAUUGCACUCCAGGCUGUGUGACAGGGCCUGACUCUGUUUCAAAAAUAUAAAUAAAUAAAAAUUUGAAAAAAUCAAAUGAAUGUAUUUUGUGACUUUGUUCCCUGGCAAAUAAACAAAAACAAUACAAUGGAGAAAAUAUAGAUCUUUCAACAGAGUGUACUAAAACACUUUGAUAUUCACAUGGAACAAACAAAACAAAAGAAAAACAAAAAGAAUCUAGACCCAGAAUCUACAUCCUUCACAAAAUUUAACUUAAAGUAGUUCAUAGCCUAAAUGUAAAAUACAAAACUAUAGAACUCCUAGAAGAUAACAUAUAGAAGAAAAUCCAGAUGACUUUCGGUUUGAUGAUGACUUUUAAGAUACAAGACAAAAGGAGCAAUACAUGAAAGAAACAAAUAAGAAGUUGGACUUGAUUUCAAUUAAAAACUUCUGAGAAUGGGAGUGGUGGCUCACAACCAAAAUCCCAAUAGUUUGGAAGAUAGUAGAACUGCUUGAGCCCGUAGUUUGAACCAGCUUGGACAACAUGGUGAGAUGCUGUCUCCACAAAAAAUAAAUUAAACAAUUAGGUGGGCUUGGUGGUUCUCACUUGCAGUUCUAGCUACUUGAGAGGUUGAGGCAGGGGGAUCACUUGAGCUUAGGAGCUUGAGGCUGCAGUGAGCCGUGAUUGCACCACUGCACUCCAGCCUAGGAAACAGUGAGACUCUCUCUCUAAAAAACAAAAACAAAAAACAAAAAAAACUUGAGUGAUAUUGGCAAGACAGCAGACUAAGAAGUUAUAGAAUCUUUUUCUGCCACAGAGAUAUUCAGUUACAACAAUAUAUAAACUAGAGCAGCUCUAUGAGAGUACCUUGGCCAUUGUGAAACCAAGAAUAGUUCCCAGAGAAAGGGGUGAAAAAUUUGUGGUGCUUGCCACACUUCCCCAAUGUAAUGUAGUAUAGAGCAACUGGGAGGAAGCCCUCCACACAGAGAUCAUCUCUUGGAAUGGAGAUAAAAAAGUAGACUGUGUGUACAACAUUUCGGCUUGUCUGAAGGAUAUAUUAGGGAUUGAUUGAUGUCUUCCUUGACUUAAAGCACUAACAGAUCAAUGGAGUUCAGAAGCUGCUGAAUAACAGGCAAGCACCACUGCAUGUUAGAUCUGCAGUUCUAAAGAGAGAUAUUAGUGAGAGCAAGCAAUUUAAAAAGAUUUGAGAGGUCCAAGAACCUCUAGCCUGGCUGAUUGACAAAGGCUUUCCUCUGCACAAAGCCAGUUACAUAAAGAUUGUGAGAGGCAGUCAUUUUUGUUAAGUGCCCAAAUUCUGGCAAAAGAUACAAGGCAUGUUAAAAACUAGAAAACAUGGUCAAAUCAAAGAAACCCAAAACUCCAGAAAUUAAGACUAAUAAAUGCAAUCUGUGAGCUGUCUGAAAAAGAAUCUAAAAUAACUCUUAUAAAGAUAUUAGUGAACUAGAACACAUAACCAACUAGAUGAAAUCAGAAAAAAAUGCAUGAACAAAAUGAGAAUAUCAACAAAGAUAUGGGAAGCAUAAAAAAGGAUAAAAUGGAAAUUCCACAGUUGAAAAUAUCAUAAGUAAACUGAAAAAAAUUAUUAGAGAUCUCAACAGCAGACUUAAUAAGGCUGAAGAAAGAAUAAGCAAAACUUGGUAACAGCCUAUUUGAAAUCAUUGAGUAAAAGGGUCAAAAACAAAAAAGGAAGAAAAGAAAAGAGAAUCCAAGGGCCUUUCAGACAUUCAAGAAGACUAAUAUGCACAUUAUAAAAAUCCCAGAAGAAGAAUAGAAAAAGAGGAGGACAGCUUAUUUAAGAAAAUAAUGGUCAGAAACUUCACAAAUUUGAGAGAAGAAGUGGUGAUAUAGUUUCAAGACUCUCAAAGAACUCCAACUAGAACAAAUCCACAUUGAACUACACACAGACACAUCAUAAUCAAACUGUCUAAACUCAAAGACAAAAAACAAUCUUGAUAGCAGCAGGAGAAAAGCGAAUUUAUAAUCUAUAGGGGAGCUUCCAUAGAUAUCAGCAUAUUUCUCAACAGAAACUGCGUGGACCAUAAAGGAGUGGGAUAACAUAUUCAGCAUGUUGAAAUACUGUAUGCAGCAAAACUGUUUUUUGAAAAUGAAAAAGAAAUAAAGACUCUCCUAGAUGAACCAAAACUGCACAACUACAUUACAAAUAGACCUCUUUAAAAGAAAUGCUAAAGGAGGUCCUUUAAGUUGAAACAAAUGGGUAUCAGACAGCAAUACAAAGCUACACACAAAAUAUAAAAAAUAUAUUUAUUACCCAUAAAGGCAAAUAUAAGGACAAAAAUGGUAGCUUGUACUAUUGUUAAUUCUGUCACAAAACCCAAAACAAUUUUAUAAAAAAAUAACAAAGUGGGAGGAGUUCUACUUCCUUUUUAAAAAUGUAUUACAAAGCCACAUAAUUAAAACAGCAUGGUACUGACAUACUGACAUAAGGCAGAAAAAAUACCAAUGAAAGAAAAUGAAAAGCCUAGGAAUAAAUACGUAUAUGGUUGAUAUGGUUUGGAACUGUGUUCCUGCCCAAAUCUCUUGUCAACUGUAAUCUCCAAUAUUGUAGGUGAGGUCUGGUGGGUGGAGAUUGACUUGUUGGGGUGGAUUUCCCCAUUGGUUCUGUUAUCAUCAUAGUGAGUGAGUUUUUCUGUGAUCUGGUUGUUUAAAAGUGUGUAGCACCUCCCACUUUCUUUUUCCUGCUCAAGCAAUGUAAGACAUGCCUGCUUUCUUUUCACUUUCCGCCAUGAUUGAAUUUCCUGAGGACUCCUCAGAGGCCAAACAGAUGCUAGCAUCAUGCUUCCUAUACAGCUUGUGGAACUGUGAGCCAAUUAAUCUGCUUUUUAAAUGAAUUACCCAGCCUCAGAUAUUUCUUUAUUUGUUUCUCCCAUUUCUUGUUAAUUACCCAGUCUCAGUGUGAGAAUGGACUAACACAAUGGUCUAAUACAAUAGCAGUGUGAGAAUGGACUAAUACAAUGGUCAAGUGAUGUUUGACAAGUGAGUCAAAACCAAUGAAUGAGAAAAAGACAGUCUCUUUAAUAAAUGGUGCUGGGAAAAUAGGAUGUCAACAUGCAAAAGCAUGAAGUUAGACCCUUAUAUUACACCAUAUGCAAACUAACUCAAAAUGAAUUAAAGUCCUUCAUGUAAGACAUAAAAUUACAGAACUCCUAGUAGAUAACACAGCAAAAAAAUUCAUGACAUUAACAUUGGCAUAAAUUCUUUAAUAUAAUACCAAAAGCACAGGCAGCAAAUGUGAAAAUAGACAAAUAGGACUACAUCAAAGUUAAAUAAAAAUAUUUUGUGCACAAAGAACUCAAAAGACUGAAAAGGCAACCUAUAGAAUGAAAGAAAAAUUUACAAAUCAUGUGUUUGAUAGGAGAGUAACAUCCAGAAUAUACAAAUACUCUCACAACUCAACAAAAUAUCAAAUAACUCAGUUUUAAAAUGGACAAAUGACUUGAAUAAACGUUUUUCCAAGAUGAUGUAUCAGUGGCCAAAAAACAUACGAACAGAUGCUCAACAUCACUAAUUAUCUAAGAAAAGCAAAUCACAACCAAAAUGAGAAAGUCAUCUUACAACCAUUAUAAUAGCUACCACAAGCAACAACAAUAAAAACUUAAAAGCAAAAAAUGAAUAGAACCAACAAAACAAAACAAAAAAACCCACAGAAAGAAAACAAGUGUUGGUAAGGAUAUGAAGAAAUUGGAAUCCUGUACACUGCUGAUGGGAUUGAAAAUGAUUCAACUCCUAUGAAAAAUGAUAUGAAAUUCUCUUAUAAAAUUAAAAAUAGAUAAGCAUAUGAUCCAGCACUCUUACUUCUAAGUAUAUACACAAAAGAAUUAGAAACAUGGUCUCACAGAGAUUGUUUACAGUAGCACUGUUCAUUACAGCCAAGAGGUGGAAGCAACCCAAAUGUUUACUGAUAAAUGACUAGAUUAACAAAAUGUGGUCUACGCAUACAAGGGGAUAUUGUUCAACCCUUAAAGGAAAUUCUGUCAUGUGCUAAAACAUAGGCAAACCUUGAGAACAUUAUGCUAAGUGAACUAAGCCAAUGCAUAAAGAAAUAUACUGAAUAAUUCCACUAAUAUGAGGUAUACAAAGUAGUCAUAUUCUUAGAAAGCAAAACGUUAAUUAGCAAGAAAUGAAGGAAAAAGAAAGGAGAGUUGUUGUUUAAUGGGUAAGAGGUUCAGAUUUGCAGGAUAAAACAGUUUUUAAAAUCUGUUUCACAAGAAUGUGAAUAUACUUACACUCCUGACCUAUAUAGUUAAAAACUGUUAAGAUGAUAAAUUUUAUGUUACAUUUUUUUUUUUACCGUAAUAAUAAUAUAUUUACAACUUCUGCUCUGUGAAACAUACUGUUAAGAGAAUGAGAACACAAUCAAGAGACUAGGACAAAAUAUUUGCAAAAGGAUAUUUGAUUAAUAAUUGUUAUCCAAAAUAUAUAAACAACUCUUAACACUCAAUAAUAAUGAAAAAAAAAAAAAAAACUAAAGCCUGGGCAAAAAAUGAAAAGGUACUUCACCAAAGAAGAUAUACAGAUAGUAAAGAAGAAGUAUAGGAAAAUAUACUUAACUUAUCAUUAGGAAAAUGAAAAUUAAAACAGCAAUGAGAUACCACUGCACUUCAAUUAGAAUGAUGAUAAUUAAAACACUGACAAUACUAAUGCUGGUCCGGAUAUGGAGUAUGUGGAGGAACAGAAACUCCCACUCAUUGGUGGUGAAAUUAAAAAUGCUACAAUUACUUUGAAAGACAGUUUGGCAGUUUUUUUUACAAAGCUAAAUAUACUCUUAACACAUAAUUCAGCAAUUAUGCUUCUUGACAUUUUCUCAAGUGAGUCGAAAACUUAUGUCAACACACAAACCUGCACAUGGAUGUUUAUAGCAACUUUAUUCGUAAUUGCCACAACUUGGAAACAACCAGCAUGCCCAACUGGUGAAUGAAUAAACAAACUGUGAUACAUCCCUGCAAUGUAAUAUUAUUGAGCACUAACAAUAAGUGAGCUAGCCAACCAUUAAAAGAUAUAGAGGAAACUUAUAUUAAGUAAAAGAAGCCAAUCUGAAAAGGCCACAUAUUACAUAAUUCUAGCUACAGGCAUAUCUUGAAGAUAUUGUGGGUUUAGUUCUAUCUCAAUAAAGAGAGUCAUAAAUUUUUAGUUUUACAGUAGAUAUAAAAGUUAUGUUUAUACUAUACUGUAGUCUAUUGGUGUGCAAUACAAUUUUGUCUCAAAAUAGAUAUACAUACCUUAUUGAAAAAACUUUAGCUAUCAAUCAUCUAGGCCAUCAGCAAACAGCAAUUUUUUUUUUUUUCCUGAUAGAAGGUCUUACCUUGAUAAGAGAAAGAAAACAUAAACAAGAAACUGAGAGAAAGUAUUUGAUACAUAUUGAUGGCUACUGACUGAUCAGGGUAGUGGUAGCUAAAGCAACAGAAGGCUGUGGCAAUUUUUUAAAAUAAGAAAAGAAUAAAGUUUGCCACAUUGAUUGACACUUUCUUUUACAACAGACUUCUCUGUAGCAUGCCAUACUGUUUGAGUAGAACUUCUUUUAUGCUUUAUGAGAGUCAGCCUGCCCUUUGAAGCUUUGAAGCCAGGAUUGGUUUCUCUCUAGCCAUGAAAUCAUUGAGAAUUGAAGUCAGUUCUCUCAAACUCUCCCUCUUCUUUAUCAACUAAAUCUAUAUAAUUUUCUAAAUCCUUUGGUGUCAUUUCAACAAUGUUCUCAGCAUCUGCACCAGCAGUAGAUUCCCUCUCAAGAAGCCAUUUUCUUUGCUCAUCAAUGAGAAGCAACUUCUCAUCACUUCAAAUUUUAUCCUGAGGUUGCAGCAAUUCAGUCACAUCUUCAGGCUCCACUUCCAAUUUUAGUUCUUUUGCUAUUUCUAUCAAAUCUGCAGUUACUUUCUCCACUGAAUUACUCAACUCCUCACACUCAUCUCUGAGUGUUCCAGUGAACUUCUUCCAACUUUAUUAAUCCUUCUUCCAUUAAUUACAAAUGUUCUAAAUGGCAUUUAGAAUGGUGAAACCUUUCCAGAAAAGUUUUCAAUUUAUUUUUCUCAGCUCCAUCAGAGUAAUCUUUAUGAUAGCUAGAGCCUUACAAAAUAUAUUUUUUAAGUAAUAAGACUUGAAGGUCAAAAUUGCUCCUUGAUUUAGCAAAAUAGAGAUUGUAUUAGCAGGCAUGAAAACAACACUAAUCUCCUUGUACAUCUCUGUCAGAGUUCUAGGGUAACCAGGUAUCUUGUUGGUGAGCAGCAAUAAUUUGAAAAGAAUCUUUUUUUCUGAGCAGCAGGUCUUAACACUGAUCUUAAAAUAUUCAGAAAACAUUGCCAUGAACAAAUGUGCAUAGCUUUUAAAGUCCCUAAGAGUUUUGGAAAGAUCAGUGAGCAUUGACUUCAACCUAAAGUCACCAGCUACAUUAGCCCCUAACAAGAGAGUUAGCCUACUCUUUGAAGGUUUGAAGCUAGGUAUUGACUUCUAUCCAUGAAAUCCUUGAUGACAUCUGCUUCUGAUAGAAGGCUGUUGGUCCACAUUACAAAUUUGUUGUUUAGUGUAGCCGCCUUUAUCAUUUGUCUUAGCUAGACCUUUUGGAUAAUUUGCUGCAGCUUCUACAUCAGCACUUGCUGCUUCACUUUGCACUUUCAUGUUAUAGAGAUGAUUUCUCUUCUCUAAUCUCAUGUAUCAACCUCUGCUAACUUCCAACUUUUCCUCUAGAGCUUCCUCACCUCUCUCAGUCUUCACAGCAUUGAAAGGAGUUAGGGUCUUGAUCUGCAUUAGGCUUUAGCUUAAAGUAAUAUUGUGGCUAGUUUGAUCUUUUGUUCAGACCACUCAUGAGCAAUAAGACCAUUUUAUUUUAUCACUCAGUGUUCACUGGAGUAGCACUUUUAAUUUUUUUCAAGAAUUUUUUCUUUUCUUUGCAAUUAUAAUAUGACUAACUAUUUGAUAUAAAAGACCUAGUUUUUGGCUCAUCUCAGGUUUCAACAGUUUUUCCUCUCUAAGCUUUAAAAUUUCUAGAUUUUGGUUUACAAUGAGAAAGACAUAUGACUUUUUCACUUGAACACUUAGAGACCUAUAAGGUUACCAAUUAAAUGAAUUUCAAUAUUGUGUCUCAGGGAAUAGGCAGAAACCAGGAGAGGGAGAGAGAUGGAGGAGCGGCCAGUUGGUAGAGCAGUCAGAACACAAACAAAUACAUGUAGAAUAAGCUUGCUAUUUUGUAUGGGCACAAUUCAUGGUGCUCCAAAACAAUCACAAUAGUAACAUCAAAGAUCAAAGAUCAUAAAUUACCAUAACAAAUAUAAUAAUAUGAAAAUUUCUGAAAUAUUUUGAGAAUUACCAACCCGUGACACAGAAACAUGAAAUGAGCCAUAAUGUUGGGAAAACGGUCCUGAUAAAGUUGCUUAGUUACUGCAGGGUUGCUACAAACCUUGAAUUUAUAAAAAAUGCAAUCUGUGAAGUGCAAUAAAGCAAAUGCAAUAAAACUCUAGGUGUGUCUAUAUAUGACAUUUUGUGAAAGGCAAAACUAUGAAGACAGUAAAAAGAUCAGUUGUUGCCAGGGGUCUCGGGGGAAAGAAGUAUGAAUAGACAGAGUAUAGAGAAAUUUUAGGGCAGUGAAACUAUUCUUUAUAAUUUUUUUUGAGGCAGAGUUUUGUUCUUGUUGCCCAGGAUGGAGUGCAAUGGCACAAUCUCUGCUCAUGGCAGCUUCCAUCUCCUGUGUUCAAGAGAUUCUCCUGCUGCAGCCUCCCAAGUAGCUGGGAUUACAGGCCUGCACCACCACGCCUGGCUAAUUUUUUGUAUUUGGUAGAGAUGGAGUUUCCCAUGUUGGUCAGUCUGGUCUCAAACUCCUGACCUCAGGUGAUCCACCCACUUCGGCUUACCAAAGUGCUGAGAUUACAGGCAUGAGCCACCAUACCCAGCCUGUUCUUCAUAAUAUUAUAAUGUAAAACAUAAUUUAUUAUACAUUUGUUGAAACCCAUAGAAUGAACAACACCAAGAGUGAGACCUAAUGUAAAUUAUGCAUUUGAGAUGACAAUGAUGUGUCAAUGAAGGUUCAUCAAUUGUAACAAAUGUACCACUCUUUGUGGGGGCAGGGAGUAUGUUGAUUAUGGAAAGGCUGUCUGUGUGUAUAGGCUGGAGGCGUGUGGAAACUGUCUAUACUUUCUACUCAAUUUUGUUGUGAACCUAAUAGUACUCUACAAAAUAAAGUCUAAUUAAAACAUGUUAAGACAGAAAUGCUCUUUAUCAAAGAUGGUAUGAUGUAUUUGAAAUAAAGGCAUAGAAACCAACAAUUACGUUAGCAUAUGUUUUAGUGCUGCUGAUAAAGGCAUUUGACUUUAGUGUGUUCACGGGAAGAUUUCACUUUGAUUCUGACAUUUUGUGUUUUUAAAAGGAAUAAAGGAGAAAGCAUGCAAUAGAGAAUAGCAUAAGAAAGACAAAGGAAGAAUGUGCAUUUCAUAUGUUUAGAGCAGCUAUUUGUGUAAGAGCCGGUCCCCCCGCCAAAACAAAACAAAACAAAAAACACCUGGAGAAACAGGAGAAUAAGGAGACAAGUGAAUGAAUUUGAAAAGUGGCCAUCACUAUUCAACAGAAGAUGUUGGGCAAUUCAUUGUAUGUCUCUGAAACUCAGUUUUCUCAUCUGUAAAAAUCAAAGGGCAAUUGAAGACAUGGGAAGAUCAGAUGAUUCACUCAGUCUUAAAACUGAGAUUCCUCAGACUCUGUUCCUCAUGAUACACAUGGAGAAAAAACUCAUUAAAAAUUCAUUAAAUAAGUACAUGCCACUUCUUUUAUUCAUCAGCCAAAUCUAGGUGGCAAAUGGAUUGCUUCCCAAAUAACAAAAACUGAUGGGUGAGAAGGACCUGUGCUUUUGCCUCAUCCACCUCUCAGAGCCGCAGCAUGGUUUACUUUUAACAGUUGGUUCAGGUAACAACAGUUUAUUGUCAGAGUUAUUACUGCAUAACUCUAAGGAUGAUCAUGCAGAGUUUAAUUUUUUAGUAGUUUUGGCAUUAAUAUUUUAUUAUAACUUUCUGAGAGGUAGGUUAGCAUGGCAGACCCUUACUGAGUAAUUAAUGGCCUGCGGUCUCCUGCAGGGGAUGAGCCAUAUGGUGAGGGAAAAGACACAUGGAAGAGGGAAGAGGGGAAAAGUUUAAAUAAGAGAAGAGUCUAUCUUCACAUGAAAACACAGACAUGCAGAGCUUAUCAGCUUUAAGGGACGGAGAAACAGGAAGUCAAAAGUGUGCCAUCCAAAAUGUUCACUGGGAUAAUUUUGUUGUAAGAAAAACAGCAUAAGACAUGAGUAGUAAACACAUGCUUGUUUGCUGUUCUUUAAAAUACAAUGAAAAUGACAGUAAUUUUCUUGAGACUAUUCUAGUGUUAGACACUAGAGUAAAUACUUUUCUUAUAUAGUAUCCCAUUUUAUGCUUAUAACAAUCCUUUGAAGUAUGUGCCACUAUAUGUCACCAUUUUAAAGAUGAUGAAAUAGGAUUUAGCAAGAAUUAGUGAUUUACCCAAGGUCACACAACUGCUAAAUAGGAGAAAAAGAUGUGAACACAGGUGUUCUCUCAAAAAUUAUCCUUCUUAUGUCACCCAAUUUUGGGGGUGUGUUCUUUCUUAGCUCACUGCUUCAGUAUUUAAGUCUAAAGUCAGCCAGAGCAACAGCUAACUAUGUAAGGGAAGAGAUCAGAAGCCAGGCUGUUUUCCCCCAGUGUUUCACACUUGCUCAUUUAUAUCUUCUGGAACUAAUGAGAUGGAAAGAUGUAAAAUAUGUCAGGCAGCCAAUAUUUAAAUUAAUUUCAAGACUACACUGCAAGCUUAGCCAAAUAUGUACUGAGUAUUCUAUUGUUCGCUUCAGAUUUGUAGUUAGGCUCCUAAUCAAUCCUGCUCACUGAAGAUCUAUGUGGUGAGUGACACAUGAUAGCAUAACACAAAUAUCAUGCACCACAGAAACGCUGCAAGUUAGAGCAAUAUGGGUAACGAUUAACAAAUUCCCACCAAAAUUAAAGCCUGAAACUAGAGCUCAUUUCUUACUCAUAAAAUUAAGUAAUUCAAAAUCUCCAGAAACCUCCUCCACAAUUUUUUUUUCUCAGCCAUUUCUCAACUAGAAGGAUUACUGAGAUUUCUGAUGGAAGCUAGUACCCGUCAGCAGAUUCAGUCUGGAGGCGUCAUUCCUUGCAUCUAUGGUAAAUAUUAUAAAGCUUUCAACACUGGAAUAAUCAAACCCUAAGCUACUCAUGUGUUCCAAUUUCAAAUUUUUAAAAAAUAGUACUCCAAAAAAUAACAUAUAUGCA